rnacentral:tRNA from 2 species
UUAAGGGAGACCUAAUCCAAGCUUUCUAGGUUUGUGAACCUGGAGAGUAAGGUCAUCUCAAGGUCGUUCGAGGGUGUGAAGUGUGUAGUUGACUUCUAAACUAGGUUUAGGUUGGGAAUAGCGAGGGCUAUUAGCUCAGGUGGUUAGAGCGCACCCCUGAUAAGGGUGAGGUCCCUGGUUCGAGUCCAGGAUGGCCCACCUUAAUCGAUAGGCAAUCAGUGAUUAACCGGUAGUCAAUCGAUGUUGUCUGGGGGUUUAGCUCAGUUGGUAGAGCGCCUGCUUUGCAAGCAGGAUGUCAGCGGUUCGAGUCCGCUAACCUCCACUGAGGCAUCGAAUCAGCAACUAGGCUAGCGGUUAGUGAGAGUGGAAGCUUUUGCUGGGAGGCUAGGUAGACUGCUGGAAGCGAUUCCAGGGAAGAACCAUGAAAACUGCAUAGAGAAGAAAGAAGGCAGGUAAGUCUAAGUAUUGAACGAAAGACAGACCGAAAGACGCCAAGAUUAGUUUGCGAGACUGAUUAAUUUAAGU